rnacentral:rRNA from 1 species
GGAAAACGUCGGAAUCUGCCUAUUUGUGGGGGAUAACGUAGGGAAACUUACGCUAAUACCGCAUACGACCUACGGGUGAAAGCGGAGGACCUUCGGGCUUCGCGCAGAUAGAUGAGCCGACGUCGGAUUAGCUAGUUGGCGGGGUAAAGGCCCACCAAGGCGACGAUCCGUAGCUGGUCUGAGAGGAUGAUCAGCCACACUGGAACUGAGACACGGUCCAGACUCCUACGGGAGGCAGCAGUGGGGAAUAUUGGACAAUGGGCGCAAGCCUGAUCCAGCCAUGCCGCGUGUGUGAAGAAGGCCUUCGGGUUGUAAAGCACUUUUGUCCGGAAAGAAAAGCUUUGGGUUAAUACCCCGUGGUUAUGACGGUACCGGAAGAAUAAGCACCGGCUAACUUCGUGCCAGCAGCCGCGGUAAUACGAAGGGUGCAAGCGUUACUCGGAAUUACUGGGCGUAAAGCGUGCGUAGGUGGUUUGUUAAGUCUGAUGUGAAAGCCCUGGGCUCAACCUGGGAAUGGCAUUGGAAACUGGCUG